rnacentral:rRNA from 1 species
AUUGAACGCUGGCGGAAUGCUUUACACACGCAAGUCGAACGGUAGAGGGGGCAACCCCUUGAGAGUGGCGAACGGGUGAGUAAUAUAUCGGAACGUGCCCAGUCGUGGGGAUAACGUAGCGAAAGCUACGCUAAUACCGCAUACGAUCUAUGGAUGAAAGCGGGGGAUCGCAAGACCUCGCGCGAUUGGAGCGGCCGAUAUCAGAUUAGGUAGUUGGUGAGGUAAAGGCUCACCAAGCCGACGAUCUGUAGCUGGUCUGAGAGGACGACCAGCCACACUGGGACUGAGACACGGCCCAGACUCCUACGGGAGGCAGCAGUGGGGAAUUUUUGGACAAUGGGCGCAAGCCUGAUCCAGCAAUGCCGCGUGCAGGAUGGAGGCCUUCGGUU